AGGGCGUGUAGUGGAUGCCUUGGCACUGAAAGCCGAUGAAGGACGUGAUAUACUGCGAUAAGUUUCGGGGAGCUGUAUGUAAGUUUUGAUCCGAAAAUUUCCGAAUGGGGAAACCCACCACUUUAUGUGGUACUUUAAACUGAAUACAUAGGUUUAAAGAGACAACCUGGAGAACUGAAACAUCUAAGUAACCAGAGGAAAAGAAAUCAAUUGAGAUUCCGUUAGUAGUGGCGAGCGAACGCGGACUAGGCCAGUAGUUUUGUUAAAAAAAUUUGAAUAGUUUGGAAAUGCUAACCAUAGAGGGUGAUAGUCCCGUAUGAGUAAUGUUUAACAAAAUUCUUGAGUAAAGCGGGACACGAGAAAUCCUGCUCGAAUAUAGGGGGACCACCCUCUAAGCCUAAAUACUCUUCAGUGACCGAUAGUGAACUAGUACCGUGAGGGAAAGGUGAAAAGAACCCCUAUUAGGGGAGUGAAAUAGAACCUGAAACUGCAUGCCUACAAUCAGUCCGAGCCCUUUUUAGGGUGAGGGCGUACCUUUUGUAUAAUGGGUCAGUGACUUAAUUUAUUAAGCAAGCUUAAGCCAUCUAGGUGUAGGCGCAGCGAAAGCAAGUCUUAAUAGGGCGAUUAGUUUAAUGAAUUAGACCCGAAAACGAAUGAGCUUACCAUGAGCAGGUUGAAAGUUGGGUAACACCAACCGGAGGACCGAACCAGUUGACGUUGAAAAGUCUUUGGAUGACUUGUGGUAAGGGGUGAAAGGCCAACCAAAUUCGUAGAUAGCUGGUUUUCCGCGAAAACUAUUUAGGUAGUGCGUUGAAUAAAUAGAUGUUUAGAGGUAGAGCACUAAAUGGGCUAGGGGGAAGAGAUUCUUACCAAACCUAAUAAAACUCCGAAUGCUAGACAUUGUUCUUCAACAGACAGACUGUGGGUGCUAAGGUCCAUGGUCGAGAGGGAAAGAGCCCAGACCACCAGAUAAGGUCCCAAAAUUAUGAUUAAGUGUGAAAGGAUGUGGAAAUUCCUUAACAGCCGGGAGGUUGGCUUAGAAGCAGCCAUCCUUUAAAGAUAGCGUAACAGCUCACCGGUCUAAUAGAGUUUCUGCGCCGAAGAUGUAACGGGGCUAAAAUCAUAUACCGAAUCUGUGGGUUUAUAAAACUUUCGAGUUUUAUAAGCGGUAGCGGAACGUUCUGUAAGCCUGUGAAGGGAUACCCGUGAGGGAUCCUGGAGGUAUCAGAAGUGCGAAUGCUGACAUAAGUAACGAUAAAAGAAGUGAAAAACUUCUUCGCCGAAAAUCCAAGGGUUCCUGCGCAAGGUUAAUCCGCGCAGAGUUAGUCGGCACCUAAGGCGAGGGCGAAAGCCGUAGUCGAUGGAAACAAGGUUAAUAUUCCUUGACCUGAUGGUAGUGACGGAUUCUGUAAGUUGUGAGUUCUUAAUGGAUUGAACUUGCCGCGAAGGGGUCCCAAGAAAUAGCUCCAUCAUUAAGACCGUACCCUAAACCGACACAGGUAGAUUAAUAGAGUAUAUUUAGGCGCUUGAGAGAAUGAUGUUGAAGGAACUCGGCAAAAUGCUUCCGUAACUUCGGGAUAAGGAAGACCCUUUUGUAGGCAACUAUGGAAGGGUGGCACAAGCCAGGGAGAAGCGACUGUUUAUCAAAAACACAGGGCUCUGCUAACACGUAAGUGGAUGUAUAGGGUCUGACGCCUGCCCGGUGCUGGAAGGUUAAUGCGGUUGGUGCAAGCUAACUUCUGAAGCCCCAGUAAACGGCGGCCGUAACUAUAACGGUCCUAAGGUAGCGAAAUUCCUUGUCGGGUAAGUUCCGACCUGCAUGAAUGGCGUAACGAUUUCUCCGCUGUCUCCAACAUCAACUCAGUGAAAUUGAAUUCUCCGUGAAGAUGCGGAGUUCGCGUAGUUAGACGGAAAGACCCCGUGCACCUUUACUGCAACUUUACAUUGGUGUUAGGAAAAACAUAUUUAGCAUAGGAGGGAGACUUUGAAGCAAAGGCGUCAGCUUUUGUGGAGUCACCAGUGAAAUACCUCUUUUGUUUUUCUUGAUAUCUAACUGAUUGCCGUCAUCCGGCAUCAAGACAUUGUAUGGUGGGUAGUUUGACUGGGGCGGUCGCCUCCCAAAUAGUAACGGAGGCGUGCGAAGGUAGGCUCAGAACGGUCAGAAAUCGUUCGUAGAGUGCAAUGGCAUAAGCCUGCCUGACUGUGAGACUGACAAGUCGAGCAGAGACGAAAGUCGGUCAUAGUGAUCCGGUGGUUCUGAGUGGAAGGGCCAUCGCUCAACGGAUAAAAGGUACGCCGGGGAUAACAGG
rnacentral:rRNA from 1 species